rnacentral:rRNA from 1 species
GACGAACGCUGGCGGCGUGCUUAACACAUGCAAGUCGAACGGAAAGGCCCUGCUUUUGUGGGGUGCUCGAGUGGCGAACGGGUGAGUAACACGUGAGUAACCUGCCCUUGACUUUGGGAUAACUUCAGGAAACUGGGGCUAAUACCGGAUAGGAGCUCCUGCUGCAUGGUGGGGGUUGGAAAGUUUCGGCGGUUGGGGAUGGACUCGCGGCUUAUCAGCUUGUUGGUGGGGUAGUGGCUUACCAAGGCUUUGACGGGUAGCCGGCCUGAGAAGGUGACCGGCCACAUUGGGACUGAGAUACGGCCCAGACUCCUACGGGAGGCAGCAGUGGGGAAUAUUGCACAAUGGGCGGAAGCCUGAUGCAGCAACGCCGCGUGCGGGAUGACGGCCUUCGGGUUGUAAACCGCUUUCGCCUGUGACGAAGCGUGAGUGACGGUAAUGGGUAAAGAAACACCGGCUAACUACGUG